GUUCCUUCUCCUGUUGAGCCUUUUCGCUUUCCCAUUGCAGUCGUUCUUGACUCAGCUUCUCCUGGAUGUUUCUCAACUCUUCCAGUUGGUGAUCAGAUACAUACACACUGUAGCAAUAUAUGAGUUUUCAGAAGGAGUGGUAACCCAGAAUGACUGGCACAGGUUUCCUGACAACUCUUUGAGUUAUCUGGAGUUGUUUCUACAUUCAAAAAAUUAUCAACUGAUCAGUGCUGAAAUCUUUGACUGUCCUGCUUCAACGUGUGUUACAGCCCACCAGCCUUGAAAGUUUGCCAUUCAUCAUGUUCGAGCCAAGUGAAAGCUAUAAACAACAGUCUCAUAUCAGUACUUAAAUGAACCUCCUCAAACGUUCAAAAAGCUGCCAUUUCAACCAGUCUCUAAUAUUAACCCUUUGCACUCGAGUGGUGCCUCUCAGGCACCACUGCAUGUGAUGCGAUAACUCGAGCGGUGCCUGAGAGGCACCAUUCGAAUCGAUGUGUUUAUUUGUGUUUGACCUAAGGAAUAUCACUUGAGAGAUCUACUUGGCCUUUUGUAGAUCAUAUUACGAGGUGUUUGUAUAGCUAUAAGGUUGUCUUAUCUCAAAUAAAGUUUGUCUUUGCAAUGCUUAUGCGAUUAAAUGUCUUAUCUCAAAAAUACUUGCGACCACGGGUAAGACUCUGUCUUCGACAUCAGUUUGAACUCAACCUUCUUGCUGAUCGCAGUAGUCCUUUCAAAGUUACUGAGCCCAAUAAGUAUGGAACACGACGAAGAAGUUACUUCUAGUGAAGAUGAGUUUAAUUUUUCGGCAAUAACGAACGAAAUUACAUCACUACAUAGACAGCUUGCCCAUGAGAACGAAGACAGAAAUGAUAAAGAUAGUGACGACGUUAGAGGAGCAAGAAGACAAAAAAUCCGAAUAAUUGAUAGUGAAUCUGGAAGCCAAAGUGAUUGUACAGAACAGACUGAACCUUCAGAAUGGAGAGUGUGCACAGAAAAGCGCCUCAAGCGCAAAGGGUUAACAUAUGUUCAUACAGCCAAUUGUGAUUGUCUGUAAUAAAUAAUAGAUAACUGCAUCACAGUGAUUUUCAGCCAGUCAAUUAUGCUUCUGAAAAUUGUACAUUGUGUGCUUAACUUUUGGAUGCUAGUGUAUACCUUAAUUUUGUAUUUAUCCUGAAAAUGAGCUAAUAAACCUAAUUUACAAGCGA